AGAGAGAGAGAGAGAGAGAGAGAGAGAGAGAGAGGGGGGGCACGGAGGAAAUAGACAGACAGACCGUUGGACUACCUGUCGACAUUCCCUCUCUAUCCACCUUUGACCAUCAAUUUAUAUAUAGUGACACCAGCCAUCCAUGCCCAGGAGCUGUUUUAGCCUUGUUAUCUACCUUUGGUCACCCUCUCUCACACACCUUCCAGUCUUCCACUUGAGGCUCCCUGUUGGUCCGGCUCAUUCCCCACAGUGCCAGGUUCGCCGGCUCCCUGUUGGUCCGGCUCAUCCCCCACAGUGCCAGGUUCGCCGGCUCCCUGUUGGUCCGGCUCAUCCCCCACAGUGCCAGGUUCGCUGGUAAGUCCCCUCUCCGUUUUAGACACUUUCCGUCUCUC